AGCAGCCGCGGUAAUUCCAGCUCCAAUAGCGUAUAUUAAAGUUGUUGCAGUUAAAAAGCUCGUAGUUGAAUUUCGGGGUUAGUAGGUUGGUCGUACCACUGGUAUGUACCGGCUUUACUGAUUCCUCCUUCUUGAAGAACUGUAAUGCCAUUUAUUUGGUGCUGCAGGGAAUCAGGACUUGUUACUUUGAAAAAAUUAGAGUGUUUAAAGCAGGCUAACGCUUGAAUACAUUAGCAUGGAAUAAUAAAAUAGGACGUAGCGAUCCUAUUUUGUUGGUUUCUAGGAUUGACGUAAUGAUUAAUAGGGAUAGUUGGGGGCAUUAGUAUUCAAUUGUCAGAGGUGAAAUUCUUGGAUUUAUUGAAGACUAACUACUGCGAAAGCAUUUGCCAAGGAUGUUUUC
rnacentral:rRNA from 1 species